GGGAGUAUAGCUCAGUGGUAGAGCAUCCGACUGCAGAUCGAAAGAUCCCCGGUUCAAACCCGGAUGCUCCCU
rnacentral:tRNA from 1 species